GACGAACGCUGGCGGCGUGCUUAACACAUGCAAGUCGAACGGUGAAGCGCCUUCCUUUUUGGUGGGUGUGGAUGAGUGGCGAACGGGUGAGUAACACGUGAGUAACCUGCCCCCUUCUUCUGGAUAACCGCAUGAAAGUGUGGCUAAUACGGGAUAUUCUGGGUCUGUCGCAUGAUGGGUCUGGGAAAGAUAUUGUUUCGGUGGGGGAUGGGCUCGCGGCCUAUCAGCUUGUUGGUGGGGUGAUGGCCUACCAAGGCGGUGACGGGUAGCCGGCCUGAGAGGGUGGACGGUCACACUGGGACCGAGACACGGCCCAGACUCCUACGGGAGGCAGCAGUGGGGAAUAUUGCACAAUGGGCGCAAGCCUGAUGCAGCGACGCCGCGUGAGGGAUGGAGGCCUUCGGGUUGUGAACCUCUUUCGCCAGUGAAGCAGGCCUGCCUCGUUUGUGGGUGGGUUGACGGUAGCUGGAUAAGAAGCGCCGGCUAACUACGUG
rnacentral:rRNA from 1 species